GUUAUAGGGAAUGCCACAGCAAGCCAGGGAAAGGGCCCUGCCAUCACCAGUUUUCUCCCAGGACCCUGGAGUCUUAAGAAGUGGUUUCUCACCCAGUUUCUUCAACUGGUUUGGAUGACUGAGGAGAUAAAGACCCCAUGGCUGUUGGACUCACGGGAUGGUUAACUUGCUUUUCUAUCCACUGUACGUGAUUUUUUUUUUUAACUUGGAGGUCUUAAACUGUCUUGCUGCCCAAGAAGAGUGGAUAUUCCAGAAAGCACCAGAUAAGUGCCGACGUUUUAAAUUCUACCUUGUUAAGCAAGCACUGUUUCCCUCCCAGGGAGUCAAGGAGAAUCAGAACCCAUGGGAGCCAACCAGAACUGUAGACAGAUAUCCCAGGAAGAAGACAGCAAGAAUGUUAAGCUCUGCUCACUUCUUCCUGUUUAUAUGGUCCAGUUCCCAAGCCCAGGAAAUGGUGUUGCCCUCCUUCAGGGCUCUAGAGCUCAGGAACUGGGGACUUGGUCCUGGGGAAGACCUCGGGUCACUUGUGAGUAAGGAGGGAGCUCUGACCCACCCCAAGGCUGCACACGCGCUCGCGGGCGCACACACAAGCGCGCGCACCACGUCGCUUGCCCAUAACACUGAGAGGCUGACUUCGACGGUCAGGUGGCUCCAACCCUGGUGGCACCUGACUGCUGUCCUAUGUUAGACCCGGCGUGUGUCCGCGGAGGGAGAAGAGCAGUGGAUCGUGAGGAAUCGUGAGCGAUCACAAAACAACAACGGGUGGGGACGGUCUCACCAGCUUCCUCCCCCCAAGAAAGGUGGCAGUGGCUUGCACAGGACCCAGUCUCUUUAUUGAAUCUUGAGUGACACCUAGUGGUCCACCCGCCUCACCGUCGCCGAGGCUGCUGCCUGGAGAGCUGGGUUUUCGGAAGACGGGAGCUUAUUUAUCCUUGCUGUCAAUGACUGAGAAUCCAUGGCAGCGCCGAAGGUUCCUAGCACUUGGCCGGAAGCAUGCGCUGUCACCUACCACAACCUUUUCUUUGUUGUCUGUGGUUCCGCAAGAAGUAUCUGGAGAGUUUGCUCAACGGACACACCAUUCUAGCCGCGAAUGUGUUGAGUAAGACGCUCUCCCAGGUGCUGGGAACACAAAAAAAGGUCCAGGUGUGGUUCCUGCUCCCGAGAAACACACAGCCUAGGUAG